ACGAGAAAUUCCGUCGGAAUCCGCGGGGACCAUCCCGCAAGGCUAAAUACUCCCUAGUGACCGAUAGUGAACCAGUACCGUGAGGGAAAGGUGAAAAGCACCCCGGAAGGGGAGUGAAAUAGAUCCUGAAACCGUGUGCCUACAACAAGUCAAAGCUCGUUAAUGAGUGAUGGCGUGCCUUUUGUAGAAUGAACCGGCGAGUUACGAUUGCAUGCGAGGUUAAGUCGAAGAGACGGAGCCGCAGCGAAAGCGAGUCUGAAUAGGGCGAAUGAGUAUGUAGUCGUAGACCCGAAACCAUGUGAUCUACCCAUGUCCAGGUUGAAGGUGCGGUAAAACGCACUGGAGGACCGAACCCACGUACGUUGAAAAGUGCGGGGAUGAGGUGUGGGUAGCGGAGAAAUUCCAAACGAACUUGGAGAUAGCUGGUUCUCUCCGAAAUAGCUUUAGGGCUAGCCUCGGAAUUGAGAAUGAUGGAGGUAGAGCACUGUUUGGACUAGGGGCCCAUCUCGGGUUACCGAAUUCAGAUAAACUCCGAAUGCCAUUCAUUUAUAUCCGGGAGUCAGACUGCGAGUGAUAAGAUCCGUAGUCGAAAGGGAAACAGCCCAGACCACCAGCUAAGGUCCCAAAAUAUAUGUUAAGUGGAAAAGGAUGUGGGGUUGCACAGACAACUAGGAUGUUGGCUUAGAAGCAGCCACCAUUUAAAGAGUGCGUAAUAGCUCACUAGUCGAGUGACCCUGCGCCGAAAAUGUACCGGGGCUAAACAUAUUACCGAAGCUGUGGACUACACCAUUAGGUGUAGUGGUAGGAGAGCGUUCUAAGGGCGUUGAAGGUCGAUCGUGAGGACGGCUGGAGCGCUUAGAAGUGAGAAUGCCGGUAUGAGUAGCGAAAGACAGGUGAGAAUCCUGUCCACCGUAUGACUAAGGUUUCCUGGGGAAGGCUCGUCCGCCCAGGGUUAGUCGGGACCUAAGCCGAGGCCGAUAGGCGUAGGCGAUGGACAACAGGUUGAUAUUCCUGUACCAGUUGUUUUUGUUUGAGCAAUGGAGGGACGCAGUAGGCUAAGGAAUGCAUGCGAUUGGAAGUGCAUGUCCAAGCAAUGAGUCUUGAGUAGAGUUAAAUGCUUUACUCUCUAAGGACAAGUUGUGA
rnacentral:rRNA from 1 species